AUUGAACGCUGGCGGCAGGCCUAACACAUGCAAGUCGGACGGUAGCACAGAGGAGCUUGCUCCUCGGGUGACGAGUGGCGGACGGGUGAGUAAUGUCUGGGGAUCUGCCCGAUAGAGGGGGAUAACCACUGGAAACGGUGGCUAAUACCGAAUAACGUCGCAAGACCAAAGAGGGGGACCUUCGGGCCUCUCACUAUCGGAUGAACCCAGAUGGGAUUAGCUAGUAGGCGGGGUAGUGGCCCACCUAGGCGACGAUCCCUAGCUGGUCUGAGAGGAUGACCAGCCACACUGGAACUGAGACACGGUCCAGACUCCUACGGGAGGCAGCAGUGGGGAAUAUUGCACAAUGGGCGCAAGCCUGAUGCAGCCAUGCCGCGUGUAUGAAGAAGGCCUUCGGGUUGUAAAGUACUUUCAGCGGGGAGGAAGGCGAUAAGGUUAAUAACCUUGUCGAUUGACGUUACCCGCAGAAGAAGCACCGGCUAACUCCGUGCCAGCAGCCGCCGUAA
rnacentral:rRNA from 1 species